GAUGAACGCUUGCUACAGGCUUAACACAUGCAAGUCGAGGGGCAGCAUGGUCUUAGCUUGCUAAGGCCGAUGGCGACCGGCGCACGGGUGAGUAACACGUAUCCAACCUGCCGUCUACUCUUGGACAGCCUUCUGAAAGGAAGAUUAAUACAAGAUGGCAUCAUGAGUCCGCAUGUUCACAUGAUUAAAGGUAUUCCGGUAGACGAUGGGGAUGCGUUCCAUUAGAUAGUAGGCGGGGUAACGGCCCACCUAGUCUUCGAUGGAUAGGGGUUCUGAGAGGAAGGUCCCCCACAUUGGAACUGAGACACGGUCCAAACUCCUACGGGAGGCAGCAGUGAGGAAUAUUGGUCAAUGGGCGAGAGCCUGAACCAGCCAAGUAGCGUGAAGGAUGACUGCCCUAUGGGUUGUAAACUUCUUUUAUAAAGGAAUAAAGUCGGGUAUGCAUACCCGUUUGCAUGUACUUUAUGAAUAAGGAUCGGCUAACUCCGUGCCAGCAGCCGCGGUAAUACGGAGGAUCCGAGCGUUAUCCGGAUUUAUUGGGUUUAAAGGGAGCGUAGAUGGAUGUUUAAGUCAGUUGUGAAAGUUUGCGGCUCAACCGUAAAAUUGCAGUUGAUACUGGAUAUCUUGAGUGCAGUUGAGGCAGGCGGAAUUCGUGGUGUAGCGGUGAAAUGCUUAGAUAUCACGAAGAACUCCGAUUGCGAAGGCAGCCUGCUAAGCUGCAACUGACAUUGAGGCUCGAAAGUGUGGGUAUCAAACAGGAUUAGAUACCCUGGUAGUCCACACGGUAAACGAUGAAUACUCGCUGUUUGCGAUAUACAGCAAGCGGCCAAGCGAAAGCGUUAAGUAUUCCACCUGGGGAGUACGCCGGCAACGGUGAAACUCAAAGGAAUUGACGGGGGCCCGCACAAGCGGAGGAACAUGUGGUUUAAUUCGAUGAUACGCGAGGAACCUUACCCGGGCUUAAAUUGCAGAUGAAUUACGGUGAAAGCCGUAAGCCGCAAGGCAUCUGUGAAGGUGCUGCAUGGUUGUCGUCAGCUCGUGCCGUGAGGUGUCGGCUUAAGUGCCAUAACGAGCGCAACCCUUGUUGUCAGUUACUAACAGGUUCCGCUGAGGACUCUGACAAGACUGCCAUCGUAAGAUGUGAGGAAGGUGGGGAUGACGUCAAAUCAGCACGGCCCUUACGUCCGGGGCUACACACGUGUUACAAUGGGGGGUACAGAGGGCCGCUACCACGCGAGUGGAUGCCAAUCCCAAAAACCUCUCUCAGUUCGGACUGGAGUCUGCAACCCGACUCCACGAAGCUGGAUUCGCUAGUAAUCGCGCAUCAGCCACGGCGCGGUGAAUACGUUCCCGGGCCUUGUACACACCGCCCGUCAAGCCAUGGGAGCCGGGGGUACCUGAAGUGCGUAACCGCGAGGAGCGCCCUAGGGUAAAACUGGUGACUGGGGCUAAGUAA
rnacentral:rRNA from 1 species